rnacentral:rRNA from 1 species
CGGCAUCGAGCAGAGGGAAAAGGAGCAAUCCGCUUUGAGAUGGCCUCGCGUCCGAUUAGCUAGUUGGUGAGGUAAUGGCCCACCAAGGCGACGAUCGGUAGCCGGACUGAGAGGUUGAACGGCCACAUUGGGACUGAGACACGGCCCAGACUCCUACGGGAGGCAGCAGUGGGGAAUAUUGCACAAUGGGGGAAACCCUGAUGCAGCGACGCCGCGUGGAGGAAGAAGGUCUUCGGAUUGUAAACUCCUGUUGUUGAGGAAGAUAAUGACGGUACUCAACAAGGAAGUGACGGCUAACUACGUGCCAGCAGCCGCGGUAAAACGUAGGUCACAAGCGUUGUCCGGAAUUACUGGGUGUAAAGGGAGCGCAGGCGGGAAGACAAGUUGGAAGUGAAAUCUAUGGGCUCAACCCAUAAACUGCUUUCAAAACUGUUUUUCUUGAGUAGUGCAGAGGUAGGCGGAAUUCCCGGUGUAGCGGUGGAAUGCGUAGAUAUCGGGAGGAACACCAGUGGCGAAGGCGGCCUACUGGGCACCAACUGACGCUGAGGCUCGAAAGUGUGGGUAGCAAACAGGAUUAGAUACCCUGGUAGUCCACACCGUAAACGAUGAUUACUAGGUGUUGGAGGAUUGACCCCUUCAGUGCCGCAGUUAACACAAUAAGUAAUCCACCUGGGGAGUA